GCACGAAAGCGUGGGGAGCAAACAGGAUUAGAUACCCUGGUAGUCCACGCCCUAAACGAUGUCAACAAGUGGUUGGGGAUUCAUUUCCUUAGUAACGUAGCUAACUCGUGAAGUUGACCGCCUGGGGAGUACGGUCGCAAGAUUAAAACUCAAAGGAAUUGACGGGGACCCGCACAAGCGGUGGAUGAUGUGGAUUAAUUCGAUGCAACGCGAAAAACCUUACCUACCCUUGACAUGGUCGGAAUCCUGAAGAGAUUCGGGAGUGCUCGAAAGAGAACCGGCGCACAGGUGCUGCAUGGCUGUCGUCAGCUCGUCUCGUGAGAUGUUGGGUUAAGUCCCGCAACGAGCGCAACCCUUGUCCUUAGUUGCUACGCAAGAGCACUCUAAGGAGACUGCCGGUGACAAACCGGAGGAAGGUGGGGAUGACGUCAAGUCCUCAUGGCCCUUAUGGGUAGGGCUUCACUCGUCAUACAAUGGUCGGAACAGAGGGUUGCCAACCCGCGAGGGGGAGCUAAUCCCAGAAAACCGAUCGUAGUCCGGAUUGCACUCUGCAACUCGAGUGCAUGAAGCUGGAAUCGCUAGUAAUCGCGGAUCAGCAUGCGGCGGUGAAUACGUUCCCGGGUCUUGUACACACCGCCCGUCACACGAUGGGAGUGGGUUUUACCAGAAGUGGCUAGUCUAACCGCAAGGAGGACGGUCACCACGGUACGAUUCAUGACU
rnacentral:rRNA from 1 species